CCCCCGUGAUCCUUUCGCUGCUCUUCUCGCUCCUCUCGGUGGGCGCCUGCUUUCUGCUCAGCGCCAAGACCUCCAAGCUGCAGGGACGGCUGGUGGCCCUUGAGGAGGAGUUGGCCAGCCGCGCUUGGAGCCCGGGAGACCAGUUUGGCGCCGAGCCUCUCCUCGCCGUGUUGCAGCCUCAGGUGGACGACCUUCUGCAGGAGAAACUAAGUGAAGGAUUAGCCAAACUACGUACAGCAAGAGAGGUACCAUCUGAAUGCAGGUGUCCACCAGGUCCACCAGGAAGACGAGGAAAGCCUGGACGGCGAGGAGAGACAGGU